UACGUAGGUGGCAAGCGUUGUCCGGAUUUACUGGGCGUAAAGGGAGCGUAGGUGGAUAUUUAAGUGGGAUGUGAAAUACUCGGGCUUAACCUGGGUGCUGCAUUCCAAACUGGAUAUCUAGAGUGCAGGAGAGGAAAGUAGAAUUCCUAGUGUAGCGGCGAAAUGCGUAGAGAUUAGGAAGAAUACCAGUGGCGAAGGCGACUUUCUGGACUGUAACUGACACUGAGGCUCGAAAGCGUGGGGAGCAAACAGG
rnacentral:rRNA from 1 species